rnacentral:rRNA from 1 species
UACGUAGGGUGCGAGCGUUGUCCGGAAUUAUUGGGCGUAAAGAGCUCGUAGGCGGUUUGUCGCGUCGAAUGUGAAAACCCGGAGCUCAACUCCGGGCCUGCAGUCGAUACGGGCGGACUUGAGUGUUGCAGGGGAGACUGGAAUUCCUGGUGUAGCGGUGAAAUGCGCAGAUAUCAGGAGGAACACCGGUGGCGAAGGCGGGUCUCUGGGCAACUACUGACGCUGAGGAGCGAAAGCGUGGGGAGCGAACAGG